rnacentral:misc_RNA from 1 species
AAGUAUACAAGACCAGAUUAAUCUCUCAAGAAUGAAUAUGAUAUCAACGGCCUAAGUUGAAAACAUCUAACAGCCUCCAUUGCUCUUAAGGAGACAAUAUAGCAUCCAAGCCUCCUACAUUCCCAUCUGUGUGGUACUGGUUCUACAGUAAGAAAGUGCUAGUAUACGAGUUGGUAGCAAAUGAAUCAGAGAAGUAUGAUGGAUGUGGAGAUAAUUGCCCAAGAGAGAUAAAAAUCAAUUAAUUAAUGAUCAAAGUGGAAAACAUUGUACCCCGUCAGGGAGAUUCCUAGGCAUUGGAAGUGCAGUAACAUAUCUUUGGAGACGGGAUUUCUGAGUUGCAUCAGAGGAUGAUGAGGUCUCAGCCCCAUCAGCUUGGCCCCGUCCAUGGAACUUGGCAAAACGAUUGAUAACAGAAUACUUCUCUAGCUCUUGGCAUUCCACUCUCAGGUCUAGAACAGAUGUUCUCUUGUCCAAUCUCAAGAUAUCAUUUUCUAGCUUCCUUGCUCUACUGA